CCCCACUUCAACCAUUACCACCAGCGUCCUCCCAUAUUAAGGUGCUUAUGGUGGAAACAUCUUGUAAUUUGAAUACUUUUUUGAAUAUUCGAUGAGGGGUGUUGACAUCAACCUUCUGUACUCAAUGGAGAGUGAGAUGAAAUUCUAGCCUCAUGAAUAUGCAUAGACCGUCUCCAAUUUCAACAGGGACAACUCCAAUAUAAAAAAAAAUGCUCAAAGUUUCCAGGAUUCAUGUACAUCACACUUAUAUCAGUACACUCAUAAAAACCUAAGCAUUACAAAACUUCUAUUCGAUCAAGUAAGCCUCACAUAUCAAAAUAGCAAUUCAUUUUUAUCUUGACUAAAUUCAACACUCUCUUAUUGACCCCUGUACAAACUCUGCACUUUCUUAAUAAUUCAUGAUCUGCUUAACAUGGACAGAUUUUGGGCGGAGUAAACCCUCUCACUUUGCCUCUCCCACUCUGAGAUGGGUCCUGGCAACUGCGUGUCUCUUUAGAAUGACGCCAUCUGAUGCGAGACAACGCACACAACCAUAAACAGUUAGCUGUGAAAAGGAAGCUUACGUACUUGGUCUUCUUGAAAGUCACAGUUGUGGUGGUGAGAAUAAAAUAAUUGCCUUGAAAUGGCAAGACUUAAUCCCAGGGAAACUGACCCGCGCCCUACACACGAAAAGCCUCGGAGAAAUCACCUGUUUGCUGAGCGACUCAGGAGAGCCACAGCAGGUCGGGGAAGGGCAGGGCCUGGUGACGGGAGGUAGAGAGAAAGUAGUCAUUCUCGUGCUCAUGAGACAAACGUUUUGCUGCCAUAUGUUAUCUGUUGUACCAUCUGGUAGUGCCUGUAUUGACUACUUCAAAUUGAGGUAAAGACUCUAGCUGCACUAGGUUAGUCAACUAGCUAGCUUUCCAGGCUAAUUGUCUACAACAACUCCAUUCAGGUUAAACAACAACCUACCUGUUGGUUGCUCAUAGUCUACUCCUUCUCAUUAAGAUAACUUAAUUGUGUAAUUUUUUAUUCCAUUUUGCAUUGACGAGAAAUAUCCUACUCCGCAUUCUAGGCUACAUAUGGCUGUAGUGCCACUUUGAUUGCCCAACAACAACAAGCUACAAAUGUGAAACAUGUGCAGGC
rnacentral:lncRNA from 13 species